rnacentral:rRNA from 1 species
UCAGGAUAGCUGGUGCAAUUAAAUAUUAUAUAAAAUAAUCUUAUCUUGGUAAAGCGAAUGAUUAGAGGCAUUAGGGUCGAAACGAUCUUAACCUAUUCUCAAACUUUAAAUGGGUAAGAACCAUAUCUUUCUUGAUAUGAAGAUAUAUAUUGGUUAUGAUAUAUUGUGCCCAGUGGGCCACUUUUGGUAAGCAGAACUGGCGCUGUGGGAUGAACCAAACGUAAUGUUAAGGCGCCUAAAUUAACAACUCAUACUGAUACCAUGAAAGGCGUUGCUUGCUUAAAACAGCAGGGCGGUGGGCAUGGAAGUCGUAAUCCGCUAAGGAGUGUGUWACAACUCACCUGCCGAAGCAACUAGCCCUUAAAAUGGAUGGCGCUCAAGUUGUAUGCCUAUACAUUACCGCUAAAAUAUAUGAUUUAUAAUAAUUAAUUAUAAAUUUUGAAAUUUUAGUGAGUAGGAGGGUACAUGGUGUGCGUAGAAGUAUUUGGCUUAAGCUGUAUGGAGCCCCCAUUGGUACAGAUCUUGGUGGUAGUAGCAAAUAAUCGAAUGAGAUCUUGGAGGACUGAAGUGGAGAAGGGUUUCGUGUGAACAGUGGUUGAUCACGAGUUAGUCGGUCCUAAGUUCAAGGCGAAAGUCGAAAAAUGUUUAAGUAUAUAUUUAUAAAUAAAUAAAUAAUAAUAGUACUUUAUAUAUUUUAAAAUGAACGAAAGGGAAUACGGUUCCAAUUCCGUAACCUGUUGAGUAUACGUUUGUAAUUAAAAAUGGGCUUAUAUGCUCAUCCUGGUAACAGUAACAACCAUAAAGAAGCCGUCGGGAGAUAUCGAAAGAGUUUUCUUUUCUGUUUUAUAGUCAUAUUACCAUGGAAGUCUUUCGAAGAGAGAUAUGGUAAAUGGACUAGAAGAGCAUGGCAUUUACUGCUGUGUCGAUAUUUUCUCCUCGGACCUUGAAAAUUUAUGGUAGGGUCACGCAAAUUUCUUAACAGGCCGUACCGAUAUCCGCAGCUGGUCUCCAAGGUGAAGAGUCUCUAGUCGAUGGAAUAAUGUAUUAAGGGAAGUCU